rnacentral:rRNA from 1 species
CCUACGGGAGGCAGCAGUGGGGAAUAUUGCGCAAUGGGCGGAAGCCUGACGCAGCGACGCCGCGUGGGGGAUGACGGCCUUCGGGUUGUAAACCUCUUUCAGCAGGGACGAAGCGAAAGUGACGGUACCUGCAGAAGAAGCACCGGCCAACUACGUGCCAGCAGCCGCGGUAAUACGUAGGGUGCAAGCGUUGUCCGGAAUUAUUGGGCGUAAAGAGCUCGUAGGCGGUUCGUCGCGUCGGCUGUGAAAACCCGGAGCUCAACUCCGGGCCUGCAGUCGAUACGGGCGGACUGGAGUGUUGCAGGGGAGACUGGAAUUCCUGGUGUAGCGGUGAAAUGCGCAGAUAUCAGGAGGAACACCGGUGGCGAAGGCGGGUCUCUGGGCAACUACUGACGCUGAGGAGCGAAAGCGUGGGGAGCGAACAGGAUUAGAUACCCUGGUAGUCCACGCCGUAAACGUUGGGCGCUAGGUGUGGGGCUCAUUCCACGAGUUCCGUGCCGCAGCUAACGCAUUAAGCGCCCCGCCUGGGGAGUACGGCCGCAAGGCUAAAACUCAAAGGAAUUGACGGGGGCCCGCACAAGCGGCGGAGCAUGUUGCUUAAUUCGAUGCAACGCGAAGAACCUUACCUAGGCUUGACAUGCACGGAAAUCUCGCAGAGAUGCGGGGUCCGUAAGGGCCGUGCACAGGUGGUGCAUGGUUGUCGUCAGCUCGUGUCGUGAGAUGUUGGGUUAAGUCCCGCAACGAGCGCAACCCUCGUUCCAUGUUGCCAGCACGUGAUGGUGGGGACUCAUGGGAGACUGCCGGGGUCAACUCGGAGGAAGGUGGGGAUGACGUCAAAUCAUCAUGCCUCUUAUGUCUAGGGCUGCAAACAUGCUACAAUGGCCGGUACAAAGGGCUGCGAUACCGCGAGGUGGAGCGAAUCCCAAAGCCGGUCUCAGUUCGGAUUGGGUCUGCAACUCGACCCAUGAAGUGGAGUUCCUAGUAUCGCAGAUCACCACGUCUCGUUGAAUACGUUC